rnacentral:ncRNA from 1 species
ACUGUGGAGAGUACAGGAACUUGUUAGUAGUGUCUGGGCAAUCAGCACAAAAGCAUACUCGUAGAAGCAGUAA